CCUACGGGUGGCAUCAGUGGGGAAUAUUGCGCAAUGGGCGAAAGCCUGACGCAGCGACGCCGCGUGAGGGAUGAAGGUCUUCGGAUCGUAAACCUCUGUCUGUAGGGAAGAACGGUCACUGUGCUAAUCAGCAGUGAAUUGACGGUACCUGCAAAGGAAGCACCGGCUAACUCCGUGCCAGCAGCCGCGGUAAUACGGAGGGUGCGAGCGUUAAUCGGAAUUACUGGGCGUAAAGCGCUCGUAGGCGGUAUGUCAAGUCAAGCGUGAAAUCCCCGCGCUCAACGUGGGAACUGCCUUUGAAACUGGCAGACUGGAGUGUGUGAGAGGAUAGUGGAAUUCCAGGUGUAGGAGUGAAAUCCGUAGAUAUCUGGAGGAACAUCAGUGGCGAAGGCGACUAUCUGGCACAUAACUGACGCUGAGGAGCGAAAGCGUGGGUAGCAAACAGGAUUAGAUACCCUAGUAGUC
rnacentral:rRNA from 1 species